AACGUAGGGGGCGAGCGUUGUCCGGAAUUACUGGGCGUAAAGGGCGUGUAGGCGGCCAAUUAAGUCAUUCGUGAAACCUGCCGGCUUAACCGGUAGCUUGCGAAAGAAACUGUUUGGCUUGAGUGCAGUAGAGGGGAGUGGAAUUCCCAGUGUAGCGGUGAAAUGCGUAGAUAUUGGGAGGAACACCAGUGGCGAAAGCGGCUCCCUGGCCUGUAACUGACGCUGAGGCGCGAAAGCGUGGGUAGCAAACAGGAUUAGAUACCCUGGUAGUCCACGCCGUAAACGAUGGGUGCUAGGUGUUGGGGGUAUCGACCCCCCCAGUGCCGCAGUUAACGCACUAAGCACCCCGCCUGGGGAGUACGGCCGCAAGGCUGAA
rnacentral:rRNA from 1 species